rnacentral:rRNA from 1 species
GACGAACGCUGGCGGCGUGCUUAACACAUGCAAGUCGAACGGAAAGGCCCUGCUUUUGUGGGGUGCUCGAGUGGCGAACGGGUGAGUAACACGUGAGUAACCUGCCCUUGACUUUGGGAUAACUUCAGGAAACUGGGGCUAAUACCGGAUAGGAGCUCCUGCUGCAUGGUGGGGGUUGGAAAGUUUCGGCGGUUGGGGAUGGACUCGCGGCUUAUCAGCUUGUUGGUGGGGUAGUGGCUUCGCCAGGCUUUGACGGGUAGCCGGCCUGGGAGGGUGACCGGCCACAUUGGGCCUGGGAUAGGGCCCAGACUCCUUCGGGAGGAAGCAGUGGGAAAUAUUGCACAAUGGGCGGAAGCCUGAUGCAGGGACGCCGGGUGCGGGAGGACGGUUUUAGGGUAGUAACGAGUUUUCGCCUGUGACGAAGAGUGAGUGACGGUAAUGGAUCAAGAAGCACCGGCUAACUACGUG